UGGACCAGCGAGAGAAGCGAAGAAAUUGAUUGCGGGAAACCUGAUGCACCGAAAAUUUUAUGAGGGUCGGACCGAGACAAACGAAUUCCUGCUUCUGUACCAAAAAGGACUAUCGUGCCGGAUAAGGCUCCCAGAGCUGGACUAGGCUUUAAUAAAGAGAAACCGGAAGCAGCUGUUGAUCGACGCAAACCUAAAUAUAAGGUGGCAUACUCCGACGGGCUUGUUUUGGAACCAAUAAAGGGAUUCAGGAAUACAACAUUUGCUUUACUACGACUACCGAUGCAGAAGAUUAUGAGAACGCCGGCGCUCAGAUCCUCCAAAGAAGCAAAAUGGGAAUAUUGUCUCGCCAAAUUCGGAAACUCGUCGAGAGCAGAAAAUUAGUGAAACAGCUAAUGAAAACAAUAUUCGCUAGAUGCGCUCAAUUUUCCGGCCAUUUUCCUGUACGGAUGUUUAGGCUACACCAGAUCCCGAUUCUAUGCUUAACACAUGGCCACUCCGAUCAUCAUCCUCACGCAUCAUUGCACACCGCUGGGCAUCAUCAUCAAUCGCCAGUGUUUUUUCGCAUCAGUGUCGGUCGGUACUGCUGUCAAAAAAAUCAACUCAAGCAAAAUUUUUCAUAACGACGUAUGUAACAAAAGUAAACAAAACGGGGUUUUUAAUACAACGUGACAAUCACACGCGGCUUUAAAUAAUACGCAUCGAUUUUACUGAUUUUAGAUCUUAAAAUUCUUUAAUUCGAUCUUUUUGCGAAUCGACGUAUGUAAAAAUUUCUAUUUUUGAAGUCUCACUGUUACAUACGUCGCUUUAACAUAUGGGAACUGAGAGCGACCUAUGUAACAAAAAAAGCAAAACAAAACAAAACUGCAGUUGCGUCAAUCGUGCAACUAUGGAAAACCGACCAAUGUACACCGACGUACGUGUAGCAUACCGGUGUAUGUAUAAUUUUAUCGUUUUUCACAGUGAAUUUGAAUGAAUUGAGCUUUGCUGUGAAGCACGCUUAUUACGUGUCAUGUAAUGAUGCAUGCCAGCGGAAAAAAGUAUUGAAAAAAGAUUUAGUUUUAAAACAGUUUUAGAAAAAGUUUUGCCAACUUUCUGCAAAGGAUUUCUCGAAUCCUCAUAGUUGUUACAUACGUCGUUAUGAAAAAUUAUGCUUGAACUCGCCUCGCACGGUUUGUACCGUUUGUACCGCGUUCGCACCCAGGAUCUUUCGAUUCGAUAUUCGCGGUACACCAGCCCAAAAGGACACAUUGCUGAAACGAUCAUCGAUCUAGGAUAAUCAGCCAAAAAGCUGUUUACAAAGACGGGUGGUUCGGAUGCAGAACUCAUGAGGAAUCGUUUCUCCAUCGGAAUUCCAUUACUGGUUCCGAACACGAAAACCGCUUCACUCCAUCGCCAGCGUCCUCGAUCACCGUGACAGAAAAGUGCGGGUAGGAAGCACCUCUCCAUUUCGUCAGCUGAACCAAACACCACCGCCGCCGCCUGCGGAACAGCAACGGAUCAAAGUGACUGAAAACUAUUUAAGUACAGUGCCUCGGAUCGACAAAGAGGCUUUACAAAAUCAACUAGAACCGUCUGAAUUCCUCUGGCAACCAUUUGCAGCAUACGGACAGCGAAGAUUUAACAAAGAAGGUAGCGUUUUUUCCACCCUCUGACUCAAGGAAUCGAUGCUGGAGAACGAUCGUCAUCAGAGCAGCAGGAACACAAGUUAUUAUCAAUCGGGAGAACGUUCCAGUAUUACGACAUCUCAUCAACCGCUUGACCAUUUGAUUAUCAUCGUCAUAAUCACAAUCUGGCUGUCGUCUUCGGGGCCGCGAUCAGGAUAUUUUGCGGAUUUUAUACACUAGACUAUUGCUACCACCGCUAGUGUUUCAGCUUUUUGUUUGACACCCUUGAUGGACUGUGUGGAUGGCACAGCCGCUGGAUUAAAGUUGCCCUUGAACGGAAAACAAGAAAUGUGUACAGAGCAGACCGGUAAACCAAUAGUUUAUUCCAGUUGUCUCACUCCGUUAAUCAGUGGCUUGCUGGUCGCCAGAAAGUUCAUGGCGAUGCUCUUCCAAUUGAUGUGCUAGUCGACGCAGUUGCGGGAAUGGCGUUAGUGUACUUAUGCUGGAAUGCGGCUCUGAUGAAAACCAGCUGGAUCUGGUUGGUGCCAGACGUGCGUUCGAUGGAAAAUCGACGAUCCUACGAACCAAAGCCACUAGUCAGCCGUGCGGGUCGGUUCCGAUUUUCUCGUACUGGAAGUUUAUUGGCCAACUGUACGAUCGCAAUCAAGGCUAGCGCUCACUCCGGGACGCCCGCCAGCAUCCGGUGAAUAUGUAACUUUGCUGACCGCACUACUCAUCUACUAUUUUGACCAUUUUGACAGCCUUUCCAACUGGUAAUGCAGUAAUCAGAGCAAUUCCCCAGAUGAAGAGGAAAAAUAUGACUCCAAUGAAGUACGUAGAGAGGGCCUUAAAUUCGUCCAGGUUCGAAGGUAUUAUAAAUGUACAGUGCCGUUGAGCUACCCCAGAACAAAAGUGAUUCGUAGAGUAAAGUAGAUGAGAACUGGAACCAGUAAAAAGAUUGCCACAGCACCUCAAGUUCCACCGUUUUUUUGAAGGUCUUGCAUCUAUUUUGAAGCAUUAAUCCUAAUAUAAGAUUUAACAUAAUAG